CGGGAAUAUGUUACCCUCACGAAACUCGAGUCGCGGAAUUGCAAGCAAUUUUGAAAAAAUACAGCCCUGGGCAAACCAUUCGAUCAAAGGAGAAACGGCCCAAGAACCCUCCAAAACAGACGAGGAUUGGGAUUUUUGGGGCACCUGGUGUAGGGAAGUCGGCCUUCAUCAAUUCUCUUCUCUACGUUACUGGGGAAUCGUGGAAUCAUGAGGCUCCAGAAGGGUACGCGGAACAGCAAUCUACCACCAUGAUCCGAGACGCUUACGACUUGACCGAUCAUCUUGUUGUCUGUGACAAUCGGGGCAUGGUAGAAUUCAGCCAAAAGUUCAUGGGCGAAGUUGAAUACCAAAUAGGAGGAGUCCGGCGAGAUGGUGAACGUGUUGUCUGGGAUAAAGGCAGAAUAGAAUGACUAAAUGCUUACUUGAAUAGUAAGUGGACGUCCACAUCUGACAACAAGCUAUCCCAGAUCCACUGUUCCGUAAUAGUUGUCAGUGGAGAGAACCUUCUUGUUAAAGCGUCUGAUUUAGCUGACCUUGUCCAGACUAUCAAACGAAUGACAGGAGUACCUCCCAUUUUUAUUAUAACGCAUAAGGCGUCCACGUCUGGUUUGGUAAGCCAUUUCAAAUCAGACCUUCUCAGUCUGGAAAUCAAAUACGUUUUCGAGAUCGAGAACUACACAGAGAAGAAUCACUUCUAUGACGUGGCAAAACAUGUGGCUUUGCUGGAAGCUCUCAACCAGUGUACCUUGGUGGCUGAUAGAGCGUUACAGCAUGCCGAAAGCAAAGGAUCAACGUGCAUCCUUUUGUAAGAAGAAAAUGGCUAUUUAGACUUCAAUGAGUUGAAGGAACGGCUUGGGGGAGCUUCUUAUUAAAGGUGACGCGUUUACAUUGUGUCAUCAAAUUCUAGCUUAAAAUACCAGUUCAUAUAGGUAGCACACCAUAGCACAAAUGACCCCCCCCCCCGACGCCAUUUUAAAGUGUGUGUGUGUUUUAGUAAAAUUAGUAGGAGUUAUAUAAGUAGUAGUUAAAAUUCAGGACAUGCAUUGCUGAAUUUGCCAAAACACCUUUUGUAACCUACAGUGAUUAUAUAUUCCACUCGGUACAUUGGCGAUGCACAUGGGUGUUAUUGUGUACUGAAUUUAUAAUUUAUAUACAGACAAAAAUCUUACCGUUAUCUUUAAUUUCUAACUUAAAUUCUUGUUCGUGUUUUGCUUUUUGCUGUUUUGUUGCUGUGUAAAAUCAUAUACUUGCAGAUAUUUUUCAAAUUUAUUUCAAAGAAAAAAGGUAAUGCGCAAAGCAAAGGAAUUGUAUAAAAAAAAAAACAUAUCGCAAAUCGCUCUUAAAACGUUUGGGGCACAUUUGUGUGUGUCUAUAUAUGCAUACCACAAACAUUUCUGCCAACCAAGUAAAGUAAGCGCGCAAAAAACAACAUAAAUUUAUACCAACAAUUAUUCGGAACCCUCUCUUUGUAAAAUAACAAAUGAGCAAAAGGAGUGCUUACUGAUGUACUUUUUCUACACAUCUUGACAUAUUUCUAUAGGUUCAUUAGCAUUUUUGUAUUUGUGCAACUUAUUAUUAAACCAACUAGGAUAAUUGAUCUUAUAGCAUCACUUUUUGAUCACUUAUUGAUCACUUAUUGAAUACUUCUUUUUAUAGUUGUAUGAACCUGUUUGUUAAUAUAUAACGAAUGCUAUCCAUGCAGAUAUAUUUACAAAAAAUAAGUGUAAGAAAAAUGAUAAACAUUGAUUUGAUUAUAGAUUUUAAAAGUUAUGCAAUUUGAUAAAAGUUACUUAAUCAUAAAUAUUUAAUAAAUAUUUAUGAUAAAGUAACUUUUAUCAAUAUAUAACCCAUCACCAUAUAAAAAGAAAUUGUCAGAACUGAAGUUAAUAGUGAGAAAGAGAAAACGUAGUUACUUCUUUAAAAGAUUUAAUGAUGUAACAACAGAGGUUUAAUAGACCUGAAAAGUUAUUAAUGAAUUGCUGAAAAGAGCACGGGGUAAAGGGGAUUACGAACUCACUGAUCGUGGUAAAAACCAUGCUCUUAUGAUGGCCGAUUUUUCUAAAGCUUUAGUUGUAAUUGAUGUAACCUUUAUCAAAAAAUGUCAGAGUAAAUUUAACUUUGGGCCUGUUUUCCAGAGUUUUCUUAUAGGAAUACGACAAGGGUGUCCCCUCUCGGCCUUAUUGUUUGUACUGGCCGCAGAACUUAUGGCAAAUAAAGUGAGAGAAAAUAAUAAAAUUAAAGGUCUGGAUAUUUUUAUAAUGAUAAAGGUAUUGAUCUAAAACUGCUGUAAUAUGCAGAUGACACUUUAUUUUAUAUUUCUGAUAUAAAUUCUAUUGACAAUAUUUUAAACGAAUUAGAGUUUUUGGGGGAAGUUGCAGAACCGAAGUUAAAUAAAGAAAAGACUGUCUUGAUUUGGAUUGGAAAAUCCUGUCAACGAUGGUCGAUAUCUUAUUUCGGCUUACACUGGGCAGAUGAACCAGUAAAAUACUUAGGACAUCAUAUCGUAUCUGAUCUGCAGUGUGCUUUAAAGAUGGAUUGACAAUAUAAAUUAGAGAAAAUGCAAAGACUGCUGGAUAACUGGAGAAAAAGAAACCUGACUAUGUUCCGGAGAUUGACUAUUAUUGAAUCACUUGCAAUUGGUCCAAUUAUACAGGUAAUGAGUGUUGAUCAGGCGCGUACG
rnacentral:lncRNA from 1 species